GACGUAGGGCGCGAGCGUUGUCCGGAUUUAUUGGGCGUAAAGAGCUCGUAGGCGGCUUGUCGCGUCGGCUGUGAAAACCCGCGGCUCAACCGCGGGCCUGCAGCCGAUAUGGGCAGGCUAGAGUUCGGUAGGGGAGACUGGAAUUCCUGGUGUAGCGGUGAAAUGCGCAGAUAUCAGGAGGAACACCGGAGGCGAAAGCGGUCCACUGGGCAACUUCUGACGCUGAGGUGCGAAAGCUAGGGUAGCAAACGGG
rnacentral:rRNA from 1 species